rnacentral:rRNA from 1 species
AUUGAACGCUGGCGGCAUGCCUUACACAUGCAAGUCGAACGGUAACAGGUCUUCUGAUGCUGACGAGUGGCGGACGGGUGAGUAAUACAUCGGAACGUGCCCAGACGUGGGGGAUAACGAGGCGAAAGCUUUGCUAAUACCGCAUACGAUCUAAGGAUGAAAGCAGGGGACCGCAAGGCCUUGUGCGUUUGGAGCGGCCGAUGGCAGAUUAGGUAGUUGGUGGGAUAAAAGCUUACCAAGCCGACGAUCUGUAGCUGUUCUGAGAGGACGACCAGCCACACUGGGACUGAGACACGGCCCAGACUCCUACGGGAGGCAGCAGUGGGGAAUUUUGGACAAUGGGCGAAAGCCUGAUCCAGCAAUGCCGCGUGCAGGAUGAAGGCCUUCGGGUUGUAAACUGCUUUUGUACGGAACGAAAAGGCUCUGGCUAAUACCUGGGGCACAUGACGGUACCGGAAGAAUAAGCACCGGAUAACUACGUG